rnacentral:rRNA from 1 species
UACGGAGGGGGCUAGCGUUGUUCGGAAUUACUGGGCGUAAAGCGCACGUAGGCGGCUUUGUAAGUUAGAGGUGAAAGCCCAGGGCUUAACCCUGGAAUUGCCUUUAAGACUGCAUCGCUAGAAUCGUGGAGAGGUGAGUGGAAUUCCGAGUGUAGAGGUGAAAUUCGUAGAUAUCAGGAGGAACACCAAUAGCGAAGGCAGCUCGCUGGGACGUUACUGACACUAAGGCGCGAAAGCGUGGGGAGCAAACAGG